CUCCCUUAGUCCGUCCGCUUUUUGAAUCUCCCUCCUGGCUUCUGCGAGCUCCCGCCCUUCCGCAGACGCGGGGGUCUCCCGGCGCACCAGGACGUGCAGGUUUUGUCCACCCUAGGGCUCCUGAGGAAUCGCGUUAGUUUAGGCUCACUCUGCCCCAUACCUGUUUGUCCGACAGACAACCUUUAAAAAAAAAAAAAAGUUUUCCCUCCGGGGAUCAGAACGUUUAAACACUAAACGUAGGCAAGGGCUUCCUGGCGGCCUGAGGGGCACCACCACCUUAACAUCUACGUAAGACUGAAAACCACUGGGGGCCGAGGUCCAGGGGUGAUGGAGACGCGAGGACCGAGGAUGGAGACCGAAUCAGGAAUCAGGCCCACGUCGUCAUCUACGUGACCGGCCGACAGGGUUUAAUUCCUAUCUGGGGUUAAAUGAAAUGCCAAGCGGAGGAGUUGAUUUUAAUUCCAGAUGGACUCAGUGUAUAUAACAGCGUGUAUUUUUCAAAGAAAUGGGUGUAAAGAGAAAGAAUACGCGGAGAAUUUUAACGGAAUGCCUAUGUAAACAAGCACUAUUACUGCCCUCAAUUGUUUUCUGCUUGAGAAAACAUAGGUUGUGUUCUUCAUUAUCUAUCUGCAGCCAAAGUGUGGCAUCUUUUGCUUGUUCUAACUGUGGUAUACAUUCCAGAUCCUUUAGCAUAAUAUACUUUCGUCACAGAAAUGACAUCUUCAGGGAGACAACUUUGAAGAAGUGCCUGAAAGUCACAGUAGAAAUACUUUCUUCUGUUACCUCCUGAAAGAUUGAAAUUUCGCAGAAGUAUCUAAUGAAGAGGAAUCUGAACAUAGCACUUGAGGAAGGAAAAAGAUUGGGAGAAGAGCCCAGAUGUCAUAAAGCAAAGAGAGGAUGAGGUUGAGAUGACCAUCUGUGUGCUCAAUUGUUUUUAUGUAUUUUGGAUUAUGCCCUUAAUAGAGGCCCCUUGAAGCAGAAUUAUUGAGUAAAAGCUCUUGCUACGUCUUGAUAUUCAGGUUACAUCAGAUUUUAGAGCAUGUACUGUGUUUGUGAUUGCCAUCUCUUAACUGUUGGAAUGGAACAAAACAUUGGAGAUUAUUUUAAUGAGAAAAGCUUCUCCAGGAAGUCAGUGAUGACCAAAAAAUUAGGGUAGGGAACUCAGGGAGACCAAGUCAACUGUAAAGUGAGAUUCUUGACAUCGUUCAGCAGCUGCUUCCCAGUGGAUUUAAUCAGUAGACAUCUGGUGGGAAAGGUACCACGGCACUGACAGCAAAGAGCUGCUUCAGCUGGGUGUGAUGGCAGCUUGAAAUCCAGGAGGAAGGAAAACACAGUAACCAGGGUGAGAUGGAGGAAGGGGAUCGUGAGCCAAGGAAUGCAAGCGCUUCUAGAAGCUGGAAAAGACCCGGGAGGCAGACUCUCCUUCAGAGCCUCCGGAGGGAAAGCAGAGCAGCCAACACCUUGAUGUGAGCCCGGGGGACCUCACUGGACUUCUAACCUACAGAUCUGUACUGUUUAAGCCACCAGGUCUGUGGUAAUUUGUUACAGUGACAAUAGAAGCUCAGCAUGUUGUCAUUGUCACCUGUCUGUCUGCUCUAGGCCAAGACUCAGGAGGGAAGCUUUGCUUCGACAUGUGGCAGCAUAAAUUCCCUUACAAUAAGAAAGGAUAGAAUUUUGAAUUCUAAAAAGCCACCAAAGUCUACAAAAAAUUCUUGAGCUGACCUUAUAUUAUUUCUAUCUUCCAAUCCUUUCCCCUCUUGCUUUAUAUUGACAAAGAUCAAAAAGGGUUCAGCAACUGUCUUUCACGAUUCUCCCAGAACCAUUAUUACACUGAAAUUUACAGGAUGUCUGACGUAUGAAGUACUAUCGUCCAUGGUUUCAGAAAGUAAAAAGCUUAAAUCUUCACUCAUUUGUUAGCUCACAACAGCAAAAGGUAACAACUGAGAAAAAAAUAAAUGAAGCCAAGAAAGAGAAAUAUCAAAGGGAAACUGAGCAAGAGCUGUUGGGUUUACACAGAAUGUUCCGAAGAAAACUUGGGGUAAUUAAGGAAAGAACGCAAAGACGACCCUGUUUUAUUCCAUACUUGAGCUGACGUAAGUCUUCAUCUGCUUAGUUCCUGAAUUUGCCCCAAGGUUGUGAAUAGAGAAAAAGAAAUCUUUACCAGAACCCAAGCAGCUGUGCUUCACCUGGUAUGAUUUGAUUUUAGGCUACUGUCUCGAAAUAAUUCCUCCCCUAGAAGAAUGUGUUGGGCAAAGUAAUGCCUGACCAAGUAUAAAUAGUGCCCCAAGCUUUAUCGAGUACCUUUAGCAUAUGUACCACCAAUAACAGUUUGUUAGAACUUUUAUGCUAUCCAUGCUUUAUAAAAACCACCAGUAUUUAUUUCAAAUUACUUUUUUAAAGUAAGAUUUUUCUAAGUUUACUCGUACAGCAAUCUCAGGGAUCCCAAGAAGGGCCACCUUGUUCCGCAAUCCCAAGGACAUCAGUGCAGAGUGACAUCCACGGUAUUCCAUGUGAACGCGGCCCCGUGCUGUGCAGCUCAGCAGCUUUGCAUUCAAGGUCUCGAUGCCUUCAGGAUUUCUCGCUCAAGCCCUCUUUGUUUCAAUGUCUCGGACCCUCCUAAGGAAGGAUGCAUUCUUUGAUUACAGUCAGGGGAUAGAUGAGGCAGGCUCAUUACAUGGGAACUGUCAUUACUCCCACCGCUGCAAUACUGACACACGCGAAGUUCAUGCUGUCGAAGAGAGGUCAGGACCCACUUGCCUGGAAUGCCCGCUUCCCUGCUUUACCCUCCGCAAAAUCUGCUAGGGCUGGAACGGUGCAUUUUUCCUUCCUUGCUAUCCCUGCGUGGACUUCCCUAAAGUCACAUUAUCCUUCUCUCCUUCCCUAUAUGAGCCAUAAUGGCAGAAUGACUGCCAGAGAAUGUGAAUUUCAAGGGAAAGGAAUGAGUAUUUUCAGAAUAGUAUUCUUAUUUUACCUUUAUCAUAUUUCUCUUGUUAAUUGCAUUCAAUAUUUUGAAAUGAAAAACGAGGACAGAGGUGCACAUACUUUAUCCCAUAUUGGUUUCCAAAUUGCAGGUUAUUGGGCAUGUGUGUAACUCCCUCAUUAAGUAAUCCAUGACAGUCCACACAGGUAUGACAAACUAGAGAGGCCUCUGUGGACCUCUGUGAGUUUUUAUUUCAUGAGAACCAUUUUUUUUUUCCUCAGCUAGUGUAGAAAAGUAUUUAAUAAUAUACAAAUGGUGAAGAGUAAUGAGACAGGAUUCAUUAGGUAUAUAAUUUGUUUCACCAUUGGUUACAUCAUUGAUUAUACCACUGCCUCUGCAGAUUGUCCCUUUAAAAUUCUACAAAUAAUGUCUAGAAAAUAUUUUCCAACGAUUUUUUCAGAUACAUAUUUGAGCAACUUCCCUUAAAGUUUACUUCUUUACAAACUUCCUAAUUUAAAUUGUUAAAUAAAAUUUCUCAAAUUUUCUUCCAAGUGUGAUUACACUAUUUUCUAGUACAUAAACAAAUACCAUGGGCCAGCAUGUCUCACUGGCAUCCACAUUCAGUGCCCCAAAUUAGAACCAAGUCAUUGUUUAGUCUUCUAGAACACUGGAUUUGAGUCCCUACUUCAACAUUUACUUGUUCUGUGAUUUGAGGGAAACAAGUCAAAAUCGUCAUGUUUUCUCAUUUGUGAAAUAGGAUCAACAAUACCAACCCACCUAAGGGUAAGGAGGCUUAAGUAAGAUGUACAUAAAGCAUCAGUAUACUGUAGGCACCCAAUAAAUGAUAGCUACCCACAUGGUGAGUUCUUGCAUUGCUGAUAUAGUUUCGUUUUUUGACCUAGGUAAUCAUUAUGUGGGCAUUUAAUAAUUAUUGGACUUUAUAUAUGGACUUCUGCAAUUAUAGUUCACAAAAAAGUAAGAAAUAGUAGCUAUUUUUAGUGUUAUCUAAAUGUUAAUUUACGUGAUGGUCCCUUAAGCCUGACCUGAGUCCCUACUAAUUGCAAAUUCUAAUAUGGCAUAUUACUUUAAAACAGAUUAAUUCCAUUUAGUAAAUUGGUAACUUUCUGCCUUACAUCACUCUAAUACCAGUUGCAGAAGGAAGCUGGCAUCUACACCAGGCCUCAUAGUUGCUAAACCCCCUUCUGUUCAGUCCAAGGAGGUGCCAAGGAAUUGAGAAAGGAAGGUAGAGGAAUUCAUUGAUGGGGUGUGACUGCCCUCUUUCAAAGUAGGUCUGCUCCUCUCUGUUUUACACACACAGGGCUCCAUUUUUCUUUGAAGAAAUAUGACUAAAAUAAAGUUUGAAAACCACCAAACGCAUAUUCAGAGUUCGGGUUUUAUCAUUUCAAUGUCCGAGCCCUGGUAAACUGACAAACAUGAAAAGAGUCAUAAGGAGAACACUAGGUGAUUAUCUUUUUGUGCAUUUGUCUUUACACUCCUUUUCAAGUUUUAUGUACAUUAUAAUAGUUCCACUUCAUAUCAUAGUACAGUUUUAUAACUCCAUAUACUUACUGUUUAUGCUGUUAGUUUGGUUGUUACUAAUGACUUCCAAGGAGGAUUCUGAUUCUACUCAUUAAAGUUUCAAGAUCACAAAACGUAUUUGAUUGCUUUGUGUUAAGGACUGGCACAUGAAAUCUCUAGCUUUUACUAAAAAGAAUAUCUUGUAUCUAACCCUUCCUGUUUAGUAUUACCUUUUUUCCCCCCUUCCAAGUUAGUCAAUUUUGUUUGGGACCUUGUCCACUAACUA